rnacentral:rRNA from 1 species
AGUGAACGCUGGCGGUAGGCCUAACACAUGCAAGUCGAACGGCAGCACAGUAAGAGCUUGCUCUUACGGGUGGCGAGUGGCGGACGGGUGAGGAAUACAUCGGAAUCUACUUUUUCGUGGGGGAUAACGUAGGGAAACUUACGCUACUACCGCAUACGACCUACGGGUGAAAGCAGGGGAUCUUCGGACCUUGCGCGAUUGAAUGAGCCGAUGUCGGAUUAGCUAGUUGGUGGGGUAAAGGCCCACCAAGGCGACGAUCCGUAGCUGGUCUGAGAGGAUGAUCAGCCACACUGGAACUGAGACACGGUCCAGACUCCUACGGGAGGCAGCAGUGGGGAAUAUUGGACAAUGGGCGCAAGCCUGAUCCAGCCAUACCGCGUGAGUGAAGAAGGCCUUCGGGUUGUAAAGCCCUUUUGUUGGGAAAGAAAAGCAGCAGGUUAAUCCCCCGCUGUUCUGACGGUACCCAAAGAGUAAGCACCGGCUAACUUCGUG